rnacentral:rRNA from 1 species
GACGAACCACACAAACGUUAUUCGGAAUUACUGGGCUUAAAGGGUGCGUAGGCUGUGCGGAAAGUUGGGUGUGAAAUCCCUCGGCUUAACCGGGGAACUGCGUCUGAUACUGGAUGGCUUGAGUUUGGGAGAGGGAUGCGGAAUUCCAGGUGUAGCGGUGAAAUGCGUAGAUAUCUGGAGGAACACCGGUGGCGAAGGCGGCAUCCUGGACCAACACUGACGCUGAGUGAGCGAAAGCCAGGGGAGCAAACGGG